rnacentral:lncRNA from 1 species
AUUUAUGAGAUCAGGCUCAUCCUAGAAACCAACAUGAGGAAACAGAGGGCAGUUCAGCACAUGACAAGAGACCUCUUGACUACGUGGGAUGAAUCACAUCCUGAGCUUGCAUUGUGAUGCUGCACCUGGCUCAGCAUGCGCACAUCUGAUGGAAUGUAUAUGGACACUGUGAAGGAGUAACGUAGGCAAAGGGUGAUUUAUGUCAAGUUGCUGCCUAUUUUGUAAAGCAGUAAUUUGAGAGGUUCGAGAUACAUGAGGGAAGGAACAGGCAGUGUAUUGCUGGCUCAACCAGUCUAGCAAUGUGUAGUUGCUCUGAUCUACGAGUAUUUGAUCUGUGUGGAUAUUAUUGUGAAAAGCUGCAUCAAAUUAGUUUUUUUUUUUUCCCCCUCAAGCAUAAGGAUGUUAUUAUUUAAUUUAUUUUUUUAAAUAAACAAAUUCCACAAGUAGGCCUCAAUUCAUUUGUAUAUAUUUUACCUUUUAUUAUGUAUACAUACACACAGACAGACAGACACAAGACUUCUCUCCCUCCCCCUCUCUCAUUUUCAGGCUAG